rnacentral:rRNA from 1 species
UACAGAGGGUGCGAGCGUUGAUCGGAAUUACUGGGCGUAAAGGGCGCGUAGGCGGCUUUGCAAGUCGGGUGUGAAAUCCCCAGGCUUAACCUGGGAACUGCAUUCGAGACUGCAUUGCUAGAGUAUGGGAGAGGGAAGUGGAAUUUCCGGUGUAGCGGUGAAAUGCGUAGAUAUCGGAAGGAACAUCAGUGGCGAAGGCGGCUUCCUGGACCGAUACUGACGCUGAUGUGCGAAAGCGUGGGGAGCAAACAGG